GAUGAACGCUGGCGGCGUGCCUAAUACAUGCAAGUCGAGCGAACAGACGAGGAGCUUGCUCCUCUGACGUUAGCGGCGGACGGGUGAGUAACACGUGGAUAACCUACCUAUAAGACUGGGAUAACUUCGGGAAACCGGAGCUAAUACCGGAUAAUAUAUUGAACCGCAUGGUUCAAUAGUGAAAGACGGUUUUGCUGUCACUUAUAGAUGGAUCCGCGCCGCAUUAGCUAGUUGGUAAGGUAACGGCUUACCAAGGCAACGAUGCGUAGCCGACCUGAGAGGGUGAUCGGCCACACUGGAACUGAGACACGGUCCAGACUCCUACGGGAGGCAGCAGUAGGGAAUCUUCCGCAAUGGGCGAAAGCUUGACGGAGCAACGCCGCGUGAGUGAUGAAGGUCUUCAGAUCGUAAAACUCUGUUAUUAGGGAAGAACAAAUGUGUAAGUAACUAUGCACGUCUUGACGGUACCUAAUCAGAAAGCCACGGCUAACUACGUG
rnacentral:rRNA from 1 species